CAUACAUUUUGUAAGCAGCCUUUUAUCAUGGCUUUUUUGACAACAGUGGCUCUAGCUGAGGGUCAGCACCUUUGGUAAGAAAAGAUUCCUGGAAACCUGAUUCGAGUUCAGGUUGAGAAAAUUCAUCUUUCCUUUGAUUGAGUAGCCUCUGGAACAAGCUUGGUUUGUUUUCUGUCAAAAAUUCCUGUGCCUUGGGAAAUUCAUUUAACCUCUGAACAUGUUGAAGACAAACUUGAACAGCAUCGUGAACUCGGACAAAGUACCACUCUUUGCCAAUCAGAUCAAUCACACCAGCUCUAGCUAGGGUCAGAAGCACUUCGCGGUUGGGAUUGGAAAUGGCUAACUGCAAUAUUACACAUAUUAUCACUGUGAUAAGUUGCGAAAUAAGAUAUUAUUCUAGGAUACAGAAUUCGAGAAGCAUGUUUGUGUAAUCUGAACCAAAGAGAGACUCUCAACCUGAAUGUCUCGUGAUUUAUAUUCCUGGUGGAGCUCUUUCAGAGCUUGAACAGCACUGGAGUCUAUAUAUGUAACAGCUGGAAUAGAUAUGAGAACUGUGAUUAGUAUGAACAAAAAAAUGAGAAAUAGUCUACUCAACCCUCAAAGCAUUUUACUGUUCUUCAGUUUUCACAUCAAAUACCAGAAUAUAUUAGACAAUUAUAAAGACCAAAAAUAGGAGCUUUAGCACUACUAAAGCAUAGCGAAGGAAAUAGCAAUGGUAAAUUUAUCCUAAUUUUGUCCUGACGACACAGCCUACGCUAGAAAAAUGAGCCAACUCAUGGAGACUUACGGGCCAUCUCAAGGAUCACAAAAUGAAUUCUUGAAACUUCUGGUCCUCGACCUGUAGAUUCAUCUUUUUCAAUUUCGUAAUCCCGUAACCUGUGAAAAAAUAAAAUACAGAUCACACUUCACAGGGACAUGUGGGAUAUGAUUUGCUGAAAGCAUUAACAGUUUAGUGAAAAUGUUUCAGAAAUACUCAAUUCAAGGUAAAAACUUGCUCUCCUUUCAGAAAAAGAAAGAAAAAGAAAAACAUCAUGUUGUCACCUGUCUUUGAUGUAACUGGUGUUGGCAAAGUAAAUAGGUGCAUCAAUUCGAACAAUCACAAUCCCAUUAUACGUAUAUGCUUCGGGGUAUUGUUGAGUGUUUCGGUAAAUAGUAGUUCCAGGAAGACGCCCCAAGACAGCUGAAAGAAACUCAUGUCAUCGAAAAUUAUAUUAUUUAUAAAGCAUUGACCAGAAACAAAAGAAAUUGAAACUUAGCACCAGUGGUUUAAACAUCACAAGUACUUGAUUAUCUUGUUAACUUGCCAGUAAAGAACAAGAGGAAAAAGAAAUGCUUGUAAAACUGAGCGUCGCAGCAAAAUGAAAUAUAUGAAGGAAAGAAAAACUACCAGAUAAAACAUUAUAUUGAGAACAGAAAAUUUAGAGGACACCAGGAGGCACCAAAAAAUAGCAAUGCCAAUAUGAAGAAGUCAAUGAUGCAAUUACAGGGUAGUGAUAUGAAAAAGCUUAAGAAUCGUGCUGGCGACAAGCAGAUAUUAGUUAAAUUUAAAAACUCCAAAUAAAAUUAAUAUGUCAAAUUACAUAAUAUAAUCUGCUAUGGCAUCCGCAGAUUUGAUGUAAGUACAUGGAUAUUAGACGAUUGCAGUAACUCACCAAUAUGUGGAUUUGCUGAUUCAUGGAUAACAAAAGCAAGUGAGACACCAACCUGCAAAUAAAUGAGACCAAAAAAUUGGCAAGCUGAGUUUAACCUUAAGAUUAUCAAAUACUAUAUGUUUCCAACACAAAGGUUAUCGGCCAGUAGUUAUUGACCUCUAUUGCAUAUUAUCAAGUUCUUUUCCUGGGUAAGGAAUUAUAGCAUGUGCAAUGCAGGAAUAUUUUUUGGUUCCAUUAUGUGAUAUAACCAAGGCAUUGAACUCCAAGCAUUUACUUCAAAAUAUUUCAAUGAUCAAAGAAUUAAAUUUGAAGCAUUUCCUGCAAAAUGGUUGUACCAAAGAACUCUAUAAAAUUAUGUAACUAACAUGCAGGCCAAGCUCAUAGCAAAAGAACAGUUAGCUGAAGAGGACAGAUAGUUCUCAAAUUUCUAGUGUAGGAAAAAACUUCAAUUCAACAUCCAGAAUAAAAAUGUACAAUAUAUUCAGGUCUGGUUAGAGAGAAAAACUAACCCCAACAAGGACACCAAUCUCUAUGCCAAGCAACAAGGUUGUCAUGCAAGUAAUAGUCCACAACAGAAAAUCUUUCUUGUCAACACGCCAUAAAAAUUUAGCCUCAUCGUAAUCCACCUGAAAGGAGGAAAAAUAGAAACAUGAAUCUGACUUUGAAAUCUAAGCAUGAAACUUGCUGCAGUUAAAAUUCAUUCAUCUCCACUUCCAAUAAUAUGCAGAGUAAAUCGUUCCUAAAACAGUCAACACUGAAACCAGGAUUUCAUCGUCUGAUGCUUCAAGUUGAUAAAUAUCUUACAGAAAUCUGUGCUUAGCAAAAAUAGUUAAGAAAUAAACAAGGAAUAUUACAGGAAUCAUCUAAAACAAAUAGAGAAGUGAUAACUAAGAGCUGAUUCAAGAAAUUAAAAUGCAAACCAUCAAAUGAUUCUUGACAGCUGAAAGAAUAUUUCUUCUAUCCAGCUUACUAUGUUUUACUAUAUGACUCAUAUUUCCUGAUCAUACAGCAAUUCUUCUUAGGGAAGAUAUGAAUAGAGUGUCAGGAAAAUCAAAUAAUGAACUGAAAAUUCUCCUAUAACAAUUACUUAAAGAAGCCUCAGUGAAAAAGAAAAGGUAAAGAUGCAGGAUGUUCUUCCCUUGCUGGUCGGUGAUUCGACACAAACCUUUCAAAGAACAGAAUGUUAAAAUACACAGAGCAGGAAGCUAUGCCAUGACAAACCCAAAUGACGCAUGAUAGAGUAGUUGCUGGUGUAUUUAGUUAAAUUAUGUUGAUGUUGUUUAACUUCAACUAAAACUAUAUCUGUAUAUAAAAAAGUUACAUUCAAUAGAAUGGCAACCUUAACAACAUAAAAUGAAACAACUGAUUCCCUGGUAGAAGAUGGCACACAUACCAGUCCAAUUACAGCAGAUAUCACAAUAGCAGCCAAGGAACACUGCAACAGCAAUACAAAUGAAUAAAAAUCAAGAGUAGUGGAAGAGUUUAAAGUAUCAUAACUAAGACAGGAAAUGGUCAAAUGUUGACCACUAAAUUGCAAGCAUGCAAUAAUAAGAAUAUGUAGGAGCAUGCAAUAAUGAAAAGUAGCCUAGUUGUAAAGACCCUCCGCCUCCAGCCAUUAGGUUGCGGGUUCGAUUCCCAGUGGAGCAAAACGAGAAAGGGCCAACAAUAGGCUCCCUGGUAGGGGGGUUUGAGGGUGGAGUUUAUCAUGUCCAGAAAAAAAAAAGAUGUAAUCAUCUUUUCAUAGCGAUAAAUACAUCUCAUAGAACACAUAACAAAUUGAAGCCAAAUUAGAGGAUAAGAGACUGGAAACACAUCUCAAACAAUGUGACAGUUGAAAGUAAUCUAGUUACCGACAGUAGGGUGAAAACUUUACACCUUCAAACAAUAUCCUUUACCUGAGGUAUGUAUUCAAAUACAGGAGUCAAGAAUAAUAGAGCACAUGCCAUUAUAAUUCCCAUCACAAGUCCCGAUAAGCCAGUUUUUGCUCCACUUUCAUGAUUUACGGCUGAUCUAGAAAAAGAGCCUGCCAGCGCAUUAGGAAAAGAGAAACUUUGUCAGAAAACAGCUGGGAAAAGUUGUGGAAAGAUACAAAUGCGGAAUUGAUCAAGCCACACAAUAUUCCAAACUCACCUGUUGUAGGGUAAAUUGAGAAGAAUGAGCCACAAAUGUUGGCCAAGCCAAGACCAAAUAACUGUUACAAUAACAGAACCAUAAGAAGUUGUAGAACGAAAUUUUCUGAUUAGAGCAUGACAUUUCUUGUGGUUAUUAUACCAUCACAAAUAAAAAGAGGAGAAGAACGAAAUAUGAGUAACAAGUUAAUGUUUAUCAUAACCUGUUCAAAUCUCACAACAGAGCAUAGUUAAACCGGUAAAUGAAUGAAUAGCAGUUCUUGCGAGAUCAUCAAAAGUCACACACCUCUUGGUUCGAAUCCAACUCAUAUCCAUUUUUUGCUGCCAGUGCCUUAGCAAUCCCCACUGAUUCCUAUAAAGUUGGGAAACUGGUAUCACCUAUCACAAAAGGAUUGUCUAACCAAAAGAUGAAAUUGAAAAGCAUGCACAAUUAUAAUGAAUGAUUAAAUUCUUACUUACCAGGAUAGCUACACCAGUAAUAAGAACUGUAGUAGGGAUCAAAGACUUUACAUGGUCAAAAUGCUUUGGUACAGAAAACUUUGGCAGCCCCUGAGGUAUAUCACCCACCUAAACCAAAGCAUACACAUCUUUAUUGGAGUGAUAACAGUUCUGUCAAUUCAUAUCAUGUACAGUAACAAAUAGGAAAAUGUUUUUAAAAAGAACAAGAUUGUGCAACAAUCUUUUCAGUGACGUAGGUUCAAUAUUUCAACCAAGAUCCUAUGAACACAGAGCCACUCAUCCUUCCAUUAAUCCAUGCCUCUAAUCAUACUCAACUUUUUAUCUGAUCUGAUUUUUAAUAACACUGAUACAUCAAAAGUGAAGAUAUCCUUUCCUCUUUAUAUAUUUUGACAUCAAGGACGUUCCAAUGUGCAAGCUCCUCCUGCCCCCCCCCCCCCUCCAAAAAAAACGGUCAANNNNNNNNNNNNNNNNNNNNNNNNNUCUGAUUUUUAAUAACACUGAUACAUCAAAGUGAAGAUAUCCUUUCCUCUUUAUAUAUUUUGACAUCCAAGGAACGUUCCAAUGUGCAAGCUCCUCCCUCGAUCCCCCCCCCCCCUCCCAAAAAAAAAAGGUCAAUGCAGCAAUAGCUCCCUAGAGAAAAACCAUAGACGACCCCUUGAAGUUUAAUGAAAUAAUCAGUAUAAGCAUCAAUCCUACUUUUCAGUCAUAUCUAUUGCUUUAGUGAUGGUAACACCCAAUUAGGACAACAUUUGUAGCUGACUAGAGCAUUCUCAAUUGUUCAUGUGGACUCGAGAAUAUUGUUUUUAAAGUGAAACUGACAAACAUAUAAAAACAAGCAUCAAUGAAUGUGUAGCAUCUAAGGAAAUGCUCUAAUGGGAUAAGUCAAAGUGGUUAACAUCAAGAUUUUGGUCCUACUGACCCUGCAGGUCAGAUAUUAAUAUUAACUUUAUGCAACUAUCCUUUUCGGUCCAUGUGAGGAAAAAAGUGGCAAAUGUAAGUUUAAUCCAACAUUAUUGUGUUCUCGCAUUAGCUCACAUGUAAUUUUUUUUUGCUAAUCUUAGACUCAAUUCCUGAAGUUCAGGUUGAGCUUAAUACAUGUCGUUCUCACCAACGAAAUUGAAGGUGGAUGAUAGAUUUUCACAAAAGUUGUACCCAGAACAACAGCUGUGAGGGGACCAGCUGCACGCAGAAAACGCAAAUGCUUCCUUGUUUUUCCCUGAAGAGAACAAUUAAAGCACAUGAACCUUCAUAUAACUGAUAAAACUAGUAUAUAAUACACAUGAAAAUGUCGGUGAACUCCUACCAAGUGCUUCAUGGUCAGAAGAAUAGCUAGCAUCAGUGAGCCCAUAACAAAAGGAGGCCACGAGAACUACAAAAGGAAAUCGAGUUAGCCUUUGAAGAAAGAAAAAAUAUCUUGUAGUAAUUAGACAAAGAAUCAUCUCUCUAACUUAAGAAAAUGAAUGGAAAUCAUUUUGCCUUUUCCAAAUCUACUCCGGAAAAGGCAAUACGGAAAUUUUGUUGACUUAAAACUGCCUGGAAACAGUUUCAAAAUCCCCAACAAAACGAUUCCAAUCCUUUGACGACAUUCAGCACUUAUUCCUAACCAACUUAUACGACCUUCAUGUACUAAUUCUUUUAAUGAAUGUCCUUUGUCUCUACAUGAUUGAGAAAAAUGGCUCUCCAAGUUAAUAUUGUAGAAAACAAUGGCUCUCCAAGUUAAUAUUGUAGAAAAUUGCCCAUUUAUACAACCUAAUAAUCUUUGACUAAAACUAAAAAUCCUCCCCAACAGUACAGUUUUGCAGAACAAUCACGUCAAAGUUAAGUAGACAGGUACAUCUGAUAUUGCAGAGAAAAUUAUAGUCUCUGCAAGUUCAGGCUAACAGUGAAUAGCAUUUCCGACACACGAAAGAAAGAAAUCAAAUUUUCAAUUUGCAUAUUCAAUGUAAAUUACUACUAGCAUUUAAGUUUCUCUUAGAAUGCAUAAAAUGGAGUAACCUGCAAAUGUUUAAUUCUGGAAAGUACCUUAUCUGCUCCNNNNNNNNNNNNNNNNNNNNNNNNNAGCAAUUAUACUUUUGACUAGAGGUAUGAUUUUGCUACUCCGUUCUAUUUCAUAGCCCAAGAAGUACUUUGCUUCAGACAAGGCAAUGACAAAAGCAGAGGCGGUUGUAAAACCAGAAAUCACAGAGUGGCUGAUGAAACGUAUGAGCCAUCCAAGCCUAUGGAGGAGUGGAAAUAAGGAGUGAGACAUUUAACAAAUUUAGUCAGAAAGAUAAUGAAGAUGCAGAAUUUUCAAUCAGUUGGAAAGAGAACCGAUCAAGGAUACAGAACUCAUACCCAAAGGAAACAUCAAAAGGCCCAUUAUUAGCAAUCAUUAUCAACUCUUUAGAUGCUCAAGUUUCCAAGUCUUGCACGGACUGCGUUAUUUGCAUUAUACUCCUCUUAGGAAGAAGUAGGUCUAGGUCAAUGUUAAGCAUGGUCUUUUUUCUUUUUUUUUUGGUAAGUAAUCAAAAAAUUUUAUAAAUGCUUGCACUAAGCCAGUGCGACAAAAAUAUAACUACAAAUUGUGAAAUUCCCCUAUUGUGUCUAAAAUUGCUUAGCAUGAUCUAUUUUUACAAUCCCCUUUGUAAUGAAUGAUUUCAGUCAGUUGAACAGGAACAUGGUGAAAAAAUUAUCCUAGAAGCUCUGAUUUUCUUUGUGCGUGUUAGGGGAUGAUAGACAUGGAAUCUGCUUAUUUCUCACAGUGACUACAAGAGAUUAUGACAAUCUGGAAAAUUCAAAUUUUAACAAAGUAAGAAAAACCAAAGCUUAAAGCAGAAAUACCUUAAGAGUGCCAUUGUGCAUUCAAAGAUGCCAACCAUAAGUGCUAACAAUAUAGCAAGCUCCGUGUAUAACUUGUCUGACGGAUCAACUAUGCUGCUCAAGACAUUUGACACUAGAAGAGACGUCAAUGCAACUGGACCAAUUGCAAGCUGACGAGAUGACCCAAAUAUGGUGUAGAUAAAUAUAGGGAUGAAACCAGAAUCUGUUUAGCAAAGCUCAGAUUGAGAGAAGAUACAAUCUUGAAGAUAACCAAGCAAACAGAAGAUAAAGAUUUUGUUACUUAUUAAGAAUCAAAUGAACAUAGCUAGGAAAGAUAGGUUCAUAAACAACUAGACAUUUGAAAAAAAUCGGAAAAGGUCAUGGAAAUUAGUUUAUCCAAGUAGAAUUUUCUUUCAGAUAUGGAUGCUAAAUUAAGAAAGAAAGACAAUGGUGCUUCAAAGAGGAGGAAAAUUUUGCCUUCGUAUUUCGAAACAAGGAAAAUAACCUAAGAACCUAAUUCACAGCUCCAUACUUGAAUCGAGAUUUAUUUCGAUAUCAGCAUCAGUAUUCAAAGGUCGUUUUGCUAAAUUAGAGAAACAUAUUGAGAACGGUAUCUGCUUCACUUUAUCAGAAUUAACAAAAGAAACACAAAGAAGUAAAUAAGUUCCAACGAUGUACUUACAAAGUCCAUAUAUGGGUUGAAGCCCAGCCAGCUUUGCAUACGACAUCGACUGUUCACGCAACAGAAUCAGUUAAAAUGAAAAUGCAUACUAUAAUUUAUUCAUUCUCAUUGAAAGACCAAAAGUGCCUCCAAAAAGGUACACUUGACAAGCAGUCUAGCAUAAGAAGAUAGCUCAUAUAAUGCUUAAUAUUAAAGGUGAGGACAUUUGGUUUACCCCAUUAUUGUUUUGACAUUAGCAAUUAGUCUAAAGGUUCCAGCGUCUACAUACUCAUUCCCAAUCAAAAAUAACUUAAGAAGACAAGUGAGCCCGACAAGGCCUUCAGUCUAUAACGUCAUCGAUUAUAACUUUUUUUAGGGGGCAAGCAUCAAUUAUAACUACUUUGAGCCUGUACUACAGAUCAUAAGAGUAAAAAGAGGACCCGGAGCUGCAUAUAAUCUUAACUUGUGACAUUGGUUUUGUGAAAUUGGUAAAAUACUUUUAAGAAACGUGGAGACAAAAUGGAAUGAACUGACACGAAUUAUGCAAAUGAAAAGCAGAGAUAUGCCAGUAAGUUCAUAACUAGAGGCAGAUCCAGAAUUUAAAUGCAGCGAAUGCAUUACUUAAUAUGUAUAUUUAGAGAGUCCUUAAAUUAUAUAUAUACACACACAUACUCUGAACCCGAUGCAGUACAUGCACCCACAGUUUAUAAGCUCGAUUAGCCUCUGUGUAUAGCAAGAAAAUGGAGGGAAAAAAGUAGUACUCUCUCUGUACCAUUUAAUAUGAUACAAUUACUAAGUAAACCGCCUUUUUUUAAUUACAAUUUUUCAAACAUAUUUUUUAAUAUAUUGAGUUAUUAUCUAUUUGUCUCAUAAUAGUACUUUUUACCUAGUUUACAAAUCUGUAAACUUUAUUUUGAAAAACAUGAAAACCUAGACCCUUGUCCCCUGAACUCUAACACAUAAAAUUGGACGGAGAGAGUGAUUAACUAGGCACCACCAACCUAUGAAUUCCUAGGCACCACCAACCUAUGAAUUCUAUAACAAUGACUAGGAUGAAUUUACAGUAUUAUCAACUUAGCUCAGCAAUGGUUACAGUAACAGAGAUGAUAAUUCUGUAAAGGAUUUUUAUACAGUGACAUGAAAAUUUUACACCAUUAGUGUAAUUUAACCAGUUAUAGCAUAUUACUUACCAUUUAUUCUAGGUUACAUCAAUGUUAUUAAAUAGAGUUACCAUCAAUUACCUUUAAGUAAUCUGAUUGUGUAAAUAUUUUUUGAAUCGUCAGUGCAUUAUAAGCUCUUCUGUAAGUUUCAAUUCAUAAUUUAGUUCAAUUCAUCAAUUUUUUACACCAUCAUGUAAUUUAACUUAAGGGAAGCCUUGGAGCAAUGGUAAAGUUGUCUCUGUGUGACCUAUAGGUCACGGGUUCAAGCCGUGGAAGCAUCUAGUGAGCUACUAAUGCUUGCAUUAGGGUAGGUUGCCAUAUCACACCCCUUGGACGUGACUCUUCCAUGGACCCUGCGUGAACGCGGGAUGCUUUAUGCACCGGGCUGCCCUUUCUUCUUUUUUUUUCAUGUAUUUUAACCCACAGUUUAUUCUAGCUUACCAAUCAAUGUUAUUAAAAAAGUUAACAGCAAUUACAUUUUAAGCAACUUGAUCGUGUAAAAAAUUUUUAUACGCUGCCAGUGCAUUAAACAUAAACUCUUCUGUAAAAGUCAAUUCAUAAUUUGACCGGUAAUGAAAAAAAUUAUAUAGUACCUGAGGAACGAGCAUGAUGCCGACGGUGAUACCAGCCAUGAGAUCAGGUUGCAAGUACUCAUUCACUUUAUAAGUUCGCAUCCAACGGGAACAAGGAAAGAAGAAGUCAAUCCACUCAAUCCAGGUCAUCCUUUUCAUCCUCGCCUUCCAUUUCGAUACAACAGACGGCGAAGAAGAAGACGACGUCGUCGUAU
rnacentral:lncRNA from 1 species